GAUGAACGCUGGCGGCGUGCCUAAUACAUGCAAGUCGAGCGAACGGACGAGAAGCUUGCUUUUCUGAUGUUAGCGGCGGACGGGUGAGUAACACGUGGAUAACCUACCUAUAAGACUGGGAUAACUUCGGGAAACCGGAGCUAAUACCGGAUAAUAUUUUGAACCGCAUGGUUCAAAAGUGAAAGACGGUCUUGCUGUCACUUAUAGAUGGAUCCGCGCUGCAUUAGCUAGUUGGUAAGGUAACGGCUUACCAAGGCAACGAUGCAUAGCCGACCUGAGAGGGUGAUCGGCCACACUGGAACUGAGACACGGUCCAGACUCCUACGGGAGGCAGCAGUAGGGAAUCGUACGCAAUGGGCGAAAGCCUGACGGAGCAACGCCGCGUGAGUGAUGAAGGUCUUCGGAUCGUAAAACUCUGUUAUUAGGGAAGAACAUAUGUGUAAGUAACUGUGCACAUCUUGACGGUACCUAAUCAGAAAGCCACGGCUAACUACGUG
rnacentral:rRNA from 1 species